rnacentral:rRNA from 1 species
GACGAACGCUGGCGGCGUGCUUAACACAUGCAAGUCGAACGGAAAGGCCCUGCUUGCAGGGUACUCGAGUGGCGAACGGGUGAGUAACACGUGGGUGAUCUGCCCUGCACUUCGGGAUAAGCUUGGGAAACUGGGUCUAAUACCGGAUAGGAGCCAUCUUUAGUGUGGUGGUUGGAAAGUUUUUUCGGUGUAGGAUGAGCUCGCGGCCUAUCAGCUUGUUGGUGGGGUAAUGGCCUACCAAGGCGGCGACGGGUAGCCGGCCUGAGAGGGUGUACGGCCACAUUGGAACUGAGAGACAGCCCAGACUCCUACGGGAGGCAGCAGUGGGGAAUAUUGCACAAUGCGCGCAAGCCUGAGGCAGCGACGCCGCGUGGGGGAUGAAGGCCUUCGGGUUGUAAACUCCUUUCGCUAGGGACGAAGCUUUGUUGUGACGGUACCUAGAUAAGAAGCACCGGCUAACUACGUG